rnacentral:lncRNA from 1 species
GGGGCGAGGAAGCUGCCGGGGAAGUGAGAUGACGGUCGCGGGGGUGCCCAGGAGCCCUGAAAAACUUGUGCCCUGGGCACGGCAAAAUCUGCAGGUUGCAGAAAGUCUCAACUGAUCCUGGCAUACCCCGAGGUGCCGACUUUUAGAGCUGAAGAUGCAAGAAAGAUUGGGAUCCUGCGAUGCACCGAACCUGUCUCUCGAAGUGUGUGCGCCCUGGUACAUUGAUACUCUUGGCCUUUGGUUCCUUGCGGUGUGCGUGUUUGUGUAUGCGGAGUGUGUUAUCUUUCUUUCUAGGGUGACACACCAUUUAUUUGAGAGGCGGGAAAGGCAGAAUCACUAGUUUAAUAUUCUGAAAAGCCAAAGUUAUGCCAUUUUGCUUGAGAGUGAGUGCAAGCUCUUGACUCCCAGGAACAGUGCAGCUAACAAUUCACCUCAGGCGAGGGCAGAAGCAAUAGCCAGCUUCUUGGUUCUGCCUGUGGCUCAGUUCCUACAUAAUUGAGUACCAAAUAAUAUGUAAACCUCUAGGGAAGCAAAAAAGAGUAAUUCAGCUUCUACCCCCGAAGUUAUUGGAGGUAUAAUGGAGAGACUGAGACGUAAUCAAUUACAAUGUCAUCCUCAAUAAUAAUUAACAUGUACUGUAUUUAGAGUUUAUUAUGGGGACAAUUACAAUAUAUUAAUAAUAUACUGUAACAAUAACAGGCAACACUUAUUGAGCACUUAGGUGUUGUGCACUGCAUGCAUUCAUAACAUGAUAAAGUACUUACUGUUUUUACUGUUUUACAGCUUCCUGUGUUAAACAAUUUGCUACAAGGUCACACAAUUUUAACUAGAAGACUGAGAUGUGAACCUGGGUGGUCUGAUGUGAACACCACUGUCUGGUAAUCCCAACGCUCUGCUGCUUUGCGACAGAGAAUGUUUUAGGGAACACACAGACUAUGUACUUAACCAAAUCUGGAAUUUGCCGUAAGAUAUUAAUCAGAGAAGUAAUGAUACUUGCAUUUUAAAAUGAAGGCUUUGGCAGUAGGAGAAGGGUGAAUAAGAGGCUUAAGAGCCUGAAGGGAGAAAUGCCAAUGAUACAAUUAUCCAGCAAGAAAUAAUCAGAAGUUGAAGUAAGGCAAUGAUGGUAGGGAUGGAAUAUAAAAAAGCUGUACCCCUAUCUGACAUCUUUAUUGGGGGAACCCGCCCCCAAUAUUUCAACGUAGGUUCUUUCUAUUUUCCAUAAGUGUUGGCCAGCUGAGAAAUAAAGAGAGACAGUAUAAAGAGAGGAAUUUUACAGCUGAGCCACCGGGGGUGACAUCACAUAUCGGUAGGACCAUGAUGCCCGCCUGAGUCUCAGACCAGCAAGUUUUUAUUAAGGGUUUCAAAAGGGGAGGGGGUGUAAGAACAGGGAGUAGGUACAAAAGUACAAAGAUCACAUGCUUCAAAAGGCAAAAAGACCUUACUACUAGUAAGGGUCUAACAAAGAUCACAUGCUUCUGAGGGAACAGGACAAAGGGCAAAAGCAGAACUACUUAUAAGAGUCCAACAAAGAUCACAAGGCAAAGGGCAAAAGCAGAGCUACUGAUAAGGGUCUAUGUUCAGCAGUGCACAUAUUGUCUUAAUAAACAUCUUAAAUAACAGAAAACAGGGUUCAAGAGCAGAGAACUGGUGUGACCACAAAUUUACCAGGGCGGAGUUUUUCCCCACCCUAGUAAGCCUGAGGGUACUGCAGGAGACCAGGGCGUAUCUCAGUCCUUAUCUCAACCGCGUAAGACAGACAUUCCCAGAGCGGCUGUUUAUAGACCUCCCCACAGGAAUGCAUUCCUUUCCCAGGGUAUUAAUAUUUAUAUUCCUUGCUAGUAAAAGAAUUUAGCAAUAUCUCUCCUACUUGCACAUCCAUUUAUAGGCUCUCUGCAAGAAGAAAAAUAUGGCUGUUUUUGCCCAACCCCACAGGCAGUCAGACCUUAUGGUUGUCUUCCUUUGUUCCCUAAAAAUUGCUGUUAUUCUGUUCUUAUUCAAGGUGCACUGAUUUCAUAUUGUUCAAACACAGAUGUUUUACAAUCAACUUGUACAGUUAACACAAUUAUCACAGUGGUCCUGAGGUGAUGUACAUCCUCAGCUUACGAAGAUAACAGGAUUAAGAGAUUAAAGUAAAGACAGGCAUAAGAAAUUAUAAAAGUAUUAUUUGGGAACUGAUAAAUGUCCAUGAAAUCUUCACAAUUUAUGUUCCUCUGCCGUGGCUCCAGCCGGUCCCUCCGUUCGGGGUCCCUGACUUCCCGCAACACAUCUUAGAUUCUUAUUACAGAAACUUAACAUUCCCAGAAGAAGCCUCGCCUUUUUAUUUCUAAUUUUGGCUAUGAAUUCCUAGCUAUGACCCAUUUGCCCCAUUCUAACUAUUUCCAGUGGUAGGGGGAAAAGAACAAGACAGUAAUAUAAUGUAGAGAUGAGCUAAUUGUGGUAAUAAUAAGCACUUGUGUAGUGCUUUCAUAUACAUGAUCUCUCUUAAUGUUCAUAACAAAGCUGUGAGGUUGGUGCUCUUAUCUCUCUUUGGUUAAUGAAGGACUGAGGCCUAGGGAAUUGGAAGUGACCUGCCAAGAUGACAGAACAAUAAAGUGGCAGAGUUGGGUUAAAUCCUUGGUUAUUUUAAUGACAAAUGACAGACCAAUAAUUGAUUCCUCAAUAAAACAGUGGAAGUCA